rnacentral:rRNA from 1 species
GAUGAACGCUGGCGGCGUGCCUAAUACAUGCAAGUCGAGCGAACAGACGAGGAGCUUGCUCCUCUGACGUUAGCGGCGGACGGGUGAGUAACACGUGGAUAACCUACCUAUAAGACUGGGAUAACUUCGGGAAACCGGAGCUAAUACCGGAUAAUAUAUUGAACCGCAUGGUUCAAUAGUGAAAGACGGUUUUGCUGUUACUUAUAGAUGGAUCCGCGCCGCAUUAGCUAGUUGGUAAGGUAACGGCUUACCAAGGCGACGAUGCGUAGCCGACCUGAGAGGGUGAUCGGCCAAACUGGAAAUGAGACACGGUCCAGACUCCUACGGGAGGCAGCAGUAGGGAAUCUACCGCAAUAGGCGAAAGCCUAACGGAGCAACGCCGCGUGAGUGAUGAAGGUCUUCGGAUCGUAAAACUCUGUUAUUAGAGAAGAACAAAUGUGUAAGUAACUAUGCACGUCUUGACGGUACCUAAUCAGAAAGCCACGGCUAACUACGUG